GACUUUUAAAUUCUUACAUGAUUUGAGUUCAAACCGGCGUGAGCCAGGUUGGUUUCUAUCUUAGAAUUUAUCAUUUUAUUUAGUACGAAAGGACCAAUAAAAUAUACAUUAGCGUAUUGUAUACUUUA
rnacentral:rRNA from 1 species